UACGUAGGUGGCGAGCGUUGUCCGGAAUCAUUGGGCGUAAAGGGCGCGUAGGCGGGAUGAUAAGUCUGUCUUAAAAGUGCGGGGCUCAACCCCGUGAUGGGAUGGAAACUAUCAUUCUUGAGUGCAGGAGAGGAAAGUGGAAUUCCCAGUGUAGCGGUGAAAUGCGUAGAUAUUGGGAGGAACACCAGUGGCGAAGGCGACUUUCUGGACUGUGUCUGACGCUGAGGCGCGAAAGCUAGGGAAGUGAACGGG
rnacentral:rRNA from 1 species